AAGCAUCGGGGAGCUGCGAAUAAGCUUUGAUCCGAUGAUUUCUGAAUGGGGAAACCCACUCCGUAAGGAGUAUCCCGCAAGGGAAGCGAACCCGGGGAACUGAAACAUCUCAGUACCUGGAGGAAAAGACAUCAACCGAGAUUCCGUUAGUAGUGGCGAGCGAACGCGGACCAGGCCAGUGCCUGAUUGUAAAUUAGCAGAACAUUCUGGAAAGUUUGACCAUAGUGGGUGACAGUCCCGUAUGGGAAGCAUGAUCGGACGUAUUAAGUAGGGCGGGACACGUGAAAUCCUGUCUGAACAUCGGAGGACCACCUUCGAAGGCUAAGUACUCCUUGCUGACCGAUAGCGAACCAGUACCGUGAGGGAAAG
rnacentral:rRNA from 11 species